rnacentral:tRNA from 1 species
CGAGGUGUAGCUUAGCCGGUAAAGCACUCAGUUUGGGACUGAGAGAACUUGGUUCAACUCCAAGCGCUUCGA